GGGGAAUUGGCGGAAUUGGUAGACGCGCUGGAUUUAGGCUCCAGUGCCGCAAGGCGUAAGGGUUCGAGUCCCUUAUUCCCCACCA
rnacentral:tRNA from 1 species